UACGUAGGGUGCGAGCGUUGUCCGGAAUUAUUGGGCGUAAAGAGCUCGUAGGCGGUCUGUCGCGUCGGUCGUGAAAACUUGGGGCUUAACCCUGAGCUUGCGGUCGAUACGGGCAUGACUGGAGUUCGGUAGGGGAGACUGGAAUUCCUGGUGUAGCGGUGAAAUGCGCAGAUAUCAGGAGGAACACCGGUGGCGAAGGCGGCUCACUGGACCGGUUCUGACGCUGAUGCGCGAAAGCGUGGGGAGCAAACGGG
rnacentral:rRNA from 1 species